UACGGAGGAGGCAAGCGUUGUCCGGAUUUAUUGGGCGUAAAGCGCUCGCAGGUGGUCCGAUGCGUCGUGCGUGAAAGACCCCGGCUCAACUGGGGAGGGUCGUGCGAUACGGUCGGACUGGAGGCCAGUAGGGGGAUGCGGAAUUCCGGGUGUAGUGGUGGAAUGCGUAGAGAUCCGGAGGAACACCAGCGGCGAAGGCGGCAUCCUGGACUGGUCCUGACACUCAUGAGCGAAAGCGUGGGGAGCGAUCCGG
rnacentral:rRNA from 1 species